AGUUCUCUGCGCUCGUCUCGGUGCCCUGCCGAGUGAGAAACCACAAUCAAUAGAUAGUCCACUUGCCUCUGCAGUGGUGUGGGACUCCUUUCAUUCUUGUAUACUAACUUGGUAGGACUGACCCAGUUUUUCCUCUGGCGUUUUUGCCUGCCCUGCUCCAGAUAUAAGAAUGGCAGCAGAUUGUCAGGAGCGGUGGGACACAUACAAGUCACACAGACGAGGCUUUUCGGGAGCUGGAAAUUAAUACCUUGGCUAAAGAAACAUUGUCAUUUAAGAAAAGGUUAGAGUGGUGCGGGACCAUCAGCCCAGCUGCCUCUGCAGAUCACCAGCUGGUUGUCCAGUAUCAGACUGAGCUCAAUCACACCCGCAGCAAAAGAAGAGAACGAGCUUCCUGCAGAGCAGCCUGCCCCCUGAAAGCACACAAGCAAAGGGAACGCGUGGCAGCUCCCUGCAGCCACACCAACAGCAGCAGCCGCUGGGGCUCGCAGGAGCCAGGCAGGACCCUGAAGUGGGGGGGUGGGCAGCGAGCGCACCACAGGUGGUAACUCCUACACUUGCUUUCUGAAGGUUUUGAAGAAAACAGCUGAGUGGCUGAGGUUUUGGGUCAAUAUCAGGAGAAAAACAAUGUUUUUUUUUUCCCCUAAACAAACAAAAAAAGUUUAUGAAAAAUGUAUUUGAAUUAUUUAUGCUGGUUUAGAUAACAAACCUAAUGAUGAGUAGUUGGGGGUGGUGGUGUUACAUUUUUCUUAGCAUUAGAAAAGUGGGCUACAAAGGAAAAUAACAUGAUAUAUAGAGAGCUGGAAUUAUUUAGAAAAAAAUCAGAUAAAGCUCACAACACUCUGGAGAUGUUCCUUUUAUUCUUUUCAAAUCUGUAAUACUCAUUUUAUUUCUUUCAUCUUUUUUAGCUUGAAGUUAAUUGAUAAGAGACAAAAAUGCUCUAGAUACCUGUGACAGAUUAAAAAAAAGAAAAGGACAAUUUUGCAUAGAGAAAUCAGUUAUUUUGUCCAGAUCCUGGGCCAUGCGAGAAUUCUGUUGUCUAUAUUUGAAAUGUAACCUCUGCAGCUAAUAGACUUUCUUUACAGAAAAUAUUUGCUGUUCUGGCUAUGAAG
rnacentral:lncRNA from 1 species